ACGGGUGCGUAACACGUGAGUUACAUGCCCUGCAGUGGGGAAUAGCCCGCCGAAAGGCGGAUUAAUACCCCAUGGUCCCGCAAGGGUAAAGGUGGCGAAAGCUGCCGCUGCAGGAUUGGCUCGCGGCCUAUCAGCUAGUUGGCGGGGUAACGGCCCACCAAGGCAACGACGGGUACCUGGUCUGAGAGGAUGAUCAGGCACACUGGAACUGAGACACGGUCCAGACACCUACGGGUGGCAGCAGUCGAGAAUAAUUCACAAUGGACGAAAGUCUGAUGGUGCAACGCCGCGUGGAGGAUGAAGGUCUUCGGAUUGUAAACUCCUGUCAUUGGGGAGUAAGACCUGGCGGUGAAUAGCCGACAGGGUUGAUAGUACCCAAAGAGGAAGGGACGGCUAACUUCGUGCCAGCAGCCGCGGUAAUACGAAGGUCCCGAGCGUUGUUCGGAAUCACUGGGCGUAAAGGGAGCGUAGGCGGCAUGGUAAGUCAGAUGUGAAAUCCCGGGGCUCAACCCCGGAACUGCAUCCGAUACUGCCUUGCUUGAGGGUUGGAGAGGUGACUGGAAUUCUCGGUGUAGCAGUGA
rnacentral:rRNA from 1 species